GACGGGGGGGGCAAGUGUUCUUCGGCAUGACUGGGCGUAAAGGGCACGUAGGCGGUGAAUCGGGUUGAAAGUGAAAGUCGCCAAAAAGUGGCGGAAUGCUCUCGAAACCAAUUCACUUGAGUGAGACAGAGGAGAGUGGAAUUUCGUGUGUAGCGGUGAAAUGCGUAGAUAUCAGGAGGAACACCGGUGGCGAAGGCGGGUCUCUGGGCAGUAACUGACGCUGAGGAGCGAAAGCGUGGGGAGCGAACAGG
rnacentral:rRNA from 1 species